CAGCAGCCGCGGGAAUACGAAGGGUGCAAGCGUUAAUCGGAAUUACUGGGCGUAAAGCGUGCGUAGGCGGUUUGUUAAGUCUGUUGUGAAAUCCCCGGGCUCAACCUGGGAAUGGCAGUGGAUACUGGCUCGCUAGAGUGUGUCAGAGGAUGGUGGAAUUCCCGGUGUAGCGGUGAAAUGCGUAGAGAUCGGGAGGAACAUCAGUGGCGAAGGCGGCCAUCUGGGACAACACUGACGCUGAGGCACGAAAGCGUGGGGAGCAAACAGGAUUAGAUACCCCCGUAGUCCCUGUCUCUUAUAC
rnacentral:rRNA from 1 species